rnacentral:lncRNA from 1 species
AGCAGUUUUAUUGUAUUUUUUUCUUCUAUGAUUUGCACCCCUCUCUGUGGUGUGGAAUCUUCCUUAAACUUCAUGUAAACAACAUCUGGGUUUAGCCUCUCAAACAGCAGCUCUUCCCUCCUAACAGGUCCCCUUUAAGCUGCCUGACUUGCUGCUUUUACAGCCUUUUUCAUGAGUAUACAAUAUUCUCUUGUCACCGAAAAUAAUUGACCAGACAAACAGCUGAAAUUCAAGGUGGUCCCAGUGCAAGUUUGUCUUACUUCCUCCAGAAAGCUGCAACAAAAUAUCAACGGAAGGGUUAAACACCAAAGAACUCACAGAUCUGGAGACUGGGAGUUCAAGGGUACCAGGAGGGCCUGCUUCCUGGUUCAUGGGUUGUUUUUUUCUUUCUGCUCCCUCACAUGGCAGAAGGAAGGAGAAAACUCUGGGACCUGUUUAAUCAGGUCUCCAAUUCCAUUUAUGAACAACCCCGAGAAGACCCACCUCCUGAUGCCAUACUCCAAGGAAUAGCUUCAGCAAGGGAACUUGGAGGACACCAAAGCAGGUGUGUUACUGUGACAGCCUCAGAGUCGCCUGGUAUAGAGAAGGAAAAAGGGAUAAGCAGGGAGACAUAUCUUGUGGGUGUCAGAACACCACCACUUUGACUACACAUCUGGGAGAUUUCUUCUAGGUUACAUUUCUGUUAAGUUUUCUCCCCUGGAAACUUUCCAAAGAGGCAUGAACUUUGGUGAUAAAUCUGAUAGAUGCCUAAAGAGCAUUUAUUCACAAUUUCAUCUUUUAGUCAUUUUAAAAUGACUAAACCUGCCAGUUUCAGUCAUUAAACUCUGAAGUUCAUUACUUCUGUCUUAAUAUUAAGCUUUUCGACUGUACAAGAAAAUGUGCUCCUGAUAGACAACCUUGUUGGGUCCCAUUGCCAUUCUAGUCAGGGGAGGGGCAUUCCCUUUUGUGGAUGCUCUUUUCAGUGUUCUUCAUUAUCGUGAGGAAUCAGUGAUAAGGCUAAACUGUUAUGUUGGUCCAAGUACAAAUGCUCUAAGUGGGCCUCCAUUCCCAUCAGUGGUGUCUUCCUCAGUGCCAUCACUAAGUGUCUUCACUCUCCAGCUGAGAAAUGUUCACUGGUUAAGAGUAUACCCUGCUCUUCAGGAGGGCUAGGGUGGGGUUCUUAGCACCUGUGUCAGAUGGUUCACUACUGCCUGUAACUCCAGCUCCGGGUACCCAAUGUCCUCUUUUGGCCUUUGCUGCAAGCACUGCACGUGUGCGUGCCCACACACACACACACACACACACACACACACACACACACACACACACAAUCUCAAGUCAAUUCUGUCAUAACAUCAGAAUUGUGCUGGUGGGUACAGUUUAAUAUCCAUGUACUGUUGGCACCCAGCCCCCAUGAGGUCUCUUAAGAGUUGUUUUCCAGCAUAACCACAGGUACCUCCUGUUUUCCUGACCUCACCCCACUGGGAUCAAUAUCCUGUUGUGAACCCUUUGACCUGGGGUUUUUGUAAGUUUGUAUAUAAGGCUGCUC